rnacentral:lncRNA from 10 species
GUAGACCCGGCAGAGCUGAAAGUACCUGCAGAAGACCUUUGGAAAGAAGUCAGUUUGCUGAUGAGAAACCGAAACAAACUUUAUCAGGUCCAUUUCUCCCUCAGGGCUUCCUUGCCUGUUUUCAUUCAUAGCUAACUCUGGCCUUCAAGCCACACCCUGAUGUUGAAAGUCUCAUGGGCACAAGUCUCUCCGAUGUCAACAGCUAUACUUUGGUGGAGUACCUUGCUUGGAGAAGAGAGAGCUGGAGAGUCGUGUGACAUGAAGUCAGAAAACUAGAAAGGACCAGAUCAUCGUGGGACCUGUAAUUCGGGAAAGGGACUUGGAUUUUCCUAUUGUAAACAUAAGCAAAAGUCCUCUUCCACCCGUAUUAUAUUGUUUCCUAGGGGUUCUACGAUAAGAAUGGAAAUACAUUCAUGAGGAAAAAAGGAUCUACAGGAACAGAGCCAUGUGUCUGGGGAUGUCCCUCACCUAUCCACUCAUCUAUCCCAGGGUCCAUGCCAGCAGCCAUCUAGUCUACCACAGACGGGGUCGGCUCUGCACAUCACUUUAGAAAGACCAUCUAUUUAGGGAACUCCAAAGCCACAUCCUGAAUUUUGGUAAUUGUGUAAAAGCCAGUUUCCUCCUCAUCGCCUAUACUAAAAAGCACUUUUCACAAGGGGAGCGGUUUUCUUCUGUUCACUGGGGUAUGCGGAAAUGCUGGGUACCAAAAGGGUAGAGUACCUAGAGAGGGGCUGGUGAGAAAAGGGGGAGACAGUUUCGGGGCUUCUAAGGGACAGGUAUGGGGAGCAGCAAGGAAUGGCAUUUUUAGGACUCGGACCAGGUGCAGCUAUUCCUCUACAAGGAGCACAGGUGCCACAAUCAUGUUUAUAAACACUUUAUUUAGGUGAUUACAGUGGGUAAGUUCCCAGCUAAGUGCACAGAUAGAAGCGAGGUAUUUCUGGGUUAAUGCAGGAGCCAGUGGGUUACAUGGGUCUGGGCACUGUGGACUAAUGUCCUAACACUGCCAGCUGCUUUCUCCUCACAGCUGGCCAC